UCACCAGGUCGAGGGUACGUCAGUUACUGGCUGGUUUGAGGUUAUGCGAAAAAGGUCUAUAGACCUUUUUUGCAUAACCUCGAACCAGCCAGUAACUGACGUACCCUCGACCUGGUGCAUUU
rnacentral:pre_miRNA from 1 species